GGCUGGUUAGCUCAAUUAGUUAGAGCAUGGUGCUAAUAACACCAAGGUCGUGGGUUUGAUCCCCAUACGGGCCA
rnacentral:tRNA from 1 species